CCUACGGGNGGCAGCAGUGGGGAAUCUUGCGCAAUGGGCGAAAGCCUGACGCAGCCAUGCCGCGUGAAUGAUGAAGGUCUUAGGAUUGUAAAAUUCUUUCACCGGGGACGAUAAUGACGGUACCCGGAGAAGAAGCCCCGGCUAACUUCGUGCCAGCAGCCGCGGUAAUACGAAGGGGGCUAGCGUUGCUCGGAAUUACUGGGCGUAAAGGGAGCGUAGGCGGAUAGUUUAGUCAGAGGUGAAAGCCCAGGGCUCAACCUUGGAAUUGCCUUUGAUACUGGCUAUCUUGAGUACGGAAGAGGUAUGUGGAACUCCGAGUGUAGAGGUGAAAUUCGUAGAUAUUCGGAAGAACACCAGUGGCGAAGGCGACAUACUGGUCCGUUACUGACGCUGAGGCUCGAAAGCGUGGGGAGCAAACAGGAUUAGAUACCCUGGUAGUCCACGCUGUAAACGAUGAGUGCUAGUUGUCGGCAGCANGCUCGUCGGUGACGCAGCUACGCAUAAGUACACUCCGCCGUCGGGAGGUACGGUCGCGAAGAAUUAAACUACAAUAGAAGUUAGACGGCGUGAGACGUAGCCGACGGACGACGACGAGGGAGGUAGG
rnacentral:rRNA from 1 species